GACGGAAGGUGCAAGCGUUGCUCGGAAUCAUUGGGCGUAAAGCGCGUGUAGGCGGCCCGGUAAGUCCGCUGUGAAAGUCCAGGGCUCAACCCUGGGAUGCCGGUGGAUACUGUCGGGCUUGAGUACGGAAGAGGCGAGUGGAAUUCCUGGUGUAGCGGUGAAAUGCGCAGAUAUCAGGAGGAACACCAAUUGCGAAGGCAGCUCGCUGGGACGUUACUGACGCUGAGACGCGAAAGCGUGGGGAGCAAACAGG
rnacentral:rRNA from 1 species